GUUAUGUUAGUUCUAGUUUGGCAGGGGGAAGAUAGCAAAGAAGUUUGAGCCAAAGACUCAGUGAUAUUUGUGAACUUGAUUCGUGUCCUCUAAAAUGUCGUAGAAAUUGGUUUCUUCAGGAAGCCUUCCCUGCUUCUCUAGUUUGAGUUUCUUCAACUGUUUCAAAUGCUGGAGCAUAGCACACAUGAAGCAAUCCACCGAGGAAGCUCUGCUCAUCCAUUUUUCUCUUGGCUGUCCUUGCACUUUGGUCUCACUCUAUCAGCAAGACUGGAGUGCAGUGGCACGAUUUCAACUCACUGCAACCUCUGCCUCCUGGGUUCAAGUGAUUCUUGUGCCUCAGCCUCCCAAGAUUUAACAUUUCUUUGGAUAUUUUGUGUGUGAAACAGUGUAAAUAUUAUUUAAAUGUAGACUAUGAUUAAUUAAAUAUGUAUAUUGUAAGCCUUAAGUCAACCACGAAAUUUUCUUAAAAAUAAUGAAGUCAAUAUAGGUAAUAAAAGGGUCUCAUAAGUAUUGCCCAAUUAAUCUAAAAGAGAAACAGAAAAAAGAGAAGAGAACAAUAUUUUUAAAAGAACACAUGGAAGAAAUAGAAAACAACUGUCACAAUGGUAAAUUUUGACCAACCACCAGUAAUAUUAAAUGUGAAUGGCCUAAGUUCACCAAUUAAAAGAUGGAGAUUGUUAGAUUGAAUUAAAAUUAAAACAAAUUAAACUAUGUGCUAUCUACAAGAAACCUUUUUCAAAUAUGAAGUUAAGGAAAGGAUGCAAGCGAAAAGGAAGGCAAAAGAUAUUGUAUGUGUUAUACCUGAAUUGUGUCUCUCAAAAUUAUGUAUGUUGAGACCCUAAUUCCCAAUAUGACUGUAUUUGGAGAUAGGGCUAUUAAGAGGUAAAUAAGAUCAAGUGAGGCCAUAAGGAUAGGGUCCUAAUCCUGUGGGAUUGGUGGACUUACAGGAAGAGAGAUCUCUUUCUCCUUUUCCAUGCACAUGCGCACGGAAAGGCCAUGCGAGCACACGGCUUGAAAAUGGUCAUCUGUAAGCCAGGAAGAGGGCUCUCAUCAGAACUCAAACUUGCCAACAUAUCAGAUUUCUAGCCUCCAGAACUAUGAGAAAAUAAAUUUCUGUGCUUUAGACAUCCAGUCUAUGAUAUUUUGUUGUGGCAGUCUGGGCAGACUAAGUCACUAUACAAACCUUAACUAAAAGAAAACUUAAGUAGCUAUAUUAAUAUCAGAUAAACUUAAGAACAAAGAAUAUUAUCAGAGAUAGAUAGGGUAAUUAUGUAAUGAAAAAGCAGUCAAUUUUCCAAGAUGUGACAAUUUUAAGCAUUUUGCACCAAAAAACAGAGUUUCAAAAUACAUUUAUAAAAAAGAACUGAAAUCCCAGCACUAUGGGAGGCCAAGGCGGGUGGAUCACCUGAGGUCAGGGUUUGAGACCAGCCAGGCCAACAUGGUGAAACCUCGUCUCUACUAAAAAUACAAAAAUUAGCUGGGUGUGGUGGUGCACACCUGUAGUUCCAGUUAUUCUGGAGGCCGAGGCAGGACAAUUGUUUGAACCCGGGAGGCGGAGAUUGCAGUGAGCCAAGAUUGCACCAUUGCACUCCAGCCUGGGCGACAGAGCGAGGCUCCAUCUCAAAAAAAAAAAAAAAAAAAAAGAACUGAAAAAAACGGAAAAAUGCACAAUUCUAGUUGAAGACUUUGAUACUUUAAUCUCAGUAUUGAUGGAUAGAACAAAGUGUACAGAAAAUUGCUAAGCAUGUAGAAGACUUAAUACUAUCAACGAACUGAACUAAUAACAUUUAUAGAUCACUAUACCCAACAAAAAAUAUAUAUAUAAUAUUCUUUAACACAGAGAACUUUUGCCAAGAUACAUCAUAUUCUGAAUCAUAAAAAACCCUAAAAUUUAAAGGAAUGAAAAGUAUACAAAGUAUGUUCACAGCUAAUAACCAAAUUAAAUUAGAAAUGAUGAACGGAAAUACCUAAACAAUCACCAAUAUUUGGAGUUUAAGUAACGUACUUCUAACUAACACAUGGGUCAAGAGGAAGCCUCGAGGGAAAAAAAUAUAUAUAAUAUAUAUAUAUUUAAUAUAUAUAAAAAUAUAUAUUAAACAUAUAUAUAUAGAGAGAGAGAGAGAACUAAAUAAAACGAAAAUGCAAUAUAUCAAAAUUUUGGGGAUGCAGUUAAAAGUAGAUGAAGAGUUGAGAUCAGUAUGCUUCUGCCUUAAAAACUGCCUUGCUUAGUUUCCAAAUGUCUGGGGAUUUUUUGAUUACCUUUUUUGUUGUUGUUGUUUCCUAGUAGAAUUCCUUUGGGGUUAGAAAACAUUUUCUGUGUAACUUCAAUAUAAUAUUUUUUGAGAUCUGCAUUAUGACUCAGCAUGUAUUCAAUCAUUUUGUACAUCCUGUAUGCAUUUGAAAGGAACACAUACUUUUCAGUAUUGCAUUGUCUGUCAACUAGGUCAGAUAUGUGAAUUACGUUAUUUAAGUAUUCUAUAUACCUAAUGAUUUGAUGCCUGCUUGUGCUACCAUUUAAUGUGUUUUAUUAAAUGUUUAUGAUUGUAUAUUUCUUUAUGAUUAUAUAUUGCUUUAUUUCUCCUUUGGCACUUCAUUUUUGGGCAAUCUACUUAAUGUAUGCAUUUAGCUCUCAUAAGCUCAAAAUUAGACUUUUAUUUUCAAGUAGUCAUUCACAGUUUUUCCUAUUAGUCCCUAAAGUCUAGGCUGCCUUCAUAGUUUUAAGUUAUUGGCAUUUCUCUAUAAUUUGUUUCAAGGGGAAAAGCAGCAACUUAAGCUAGUUCUCUAUUUGUCAGGAACCAGAAGCCAAGAAGGUUUGUUUUUAGACGUCUCCUAAUAACUCAUUAUCAAUUAGUUAUAUUUACAAAUAUAUAUAACACACACACACACAUAUAUAUAUACACACAUAUAUGUAUAUGUGUAUAGAUAUGUCUGUAUAUAUAGAAGCAUUGACAUUGAUUUUUACCUAUAUAACAUACUGUCCUGGCUUACUAUUUUGGCGCAAAAUGGUGUGACUUUUUAACCCAUGUAUAGUAUCCUGCUGAAAGUUUUUAUAGGAAAAUGAUCAAAAUGUAGGACUGAGUUACAAAGGCUAUUGCUUGACUUUGUGAUUGGCCUGAUGCCUUUCCAUAAGUAGACAUUUCCUUGAAUUGCAAGCAAUAAUUGGACACUAGAGAGCUAUUAUUUGUGAGGCCUCUAAGUAAAUUUUGUUUUAAUGCAAAGCGAAAGUGGAGUGCUGGUAAAGGGUAUCUGGAAAUAUGGCUCAACAUAUCCGGAUGUAGUGGUUUUGUAUGGAAAACACAUUUCCUUUGCACUAGGGCAUAGCAUUUAAAAAGUUGGCUAUAUGUAUAAUCCUUGAUACUUCUGGAUGAUAUCAUUAUCAGAGAUUUAAAAAAGUGCAUUAACAUCUCCAAAGCAGUGCACUGUGUUUCUUGCCUUUUCAUUUUUUAUGUUUCCAACAUUUUAUUGUAUAAGAUUCUAUUGCAAUUUUAAGUCCACAAUUAGGAGGCAUUAUUUAGGGAAUAUAUUACCAUUUGUUGAUUCUUUUGAAAUGUCUUUUUGAAACAUAAAAAAUUACUAACUAACUGACUUGGGAUUGAGAGUUUUAUCUGUUUUUCCUGCUUCUCCUCCCCUAUAACUAAAUAGUCUAUCAGGAUAAUAUCUAAAGGGUGAUAUUGAGGUCAGCUAACUGUAGUAUAUCUGUUUCUCGAUCCCAGAUGGUAAAUUUAGGGAUCUGAGGAAAAUAGUCUGAUAAGAGUUGAAAAAUUAAAGGUGAUAUAAGAGAAAGUUAGUGCAUUGAAUGUGUCUCAACAAGAAACUUUUUUUGGAGGUGUGAACUCAUGAUUUAUUUUGACUCUCAGAGGCUCUUUUUAAACAAAAUACUAGAUGAUCUAAUCAUUUAACAAGCAUAAUUUAGACAUGUAUAAUUAAAAAUAUCAACCUCCUCUUAAUAUCAAACUUGAUAAAAAAUGAAUUGAGUUAAAACAAUACUUUGUGUGAGUUUGUGUGUGUGUGUGUGUUUAACAAUUGAGUUGGGCACAUGUAGGGGUAAUUAAAGUAUAAAACUGUUAAUCCUCUGUCUCUCAACAUUAAGAGACAGCUCAAUAGUUGAUGGCCUCUUUGAUCAUGUGUUUGGUUAUGUUUAUUUUUUCCAGUUGUUGUUUCAUCCUCAUAUUGCAAAUGCCUCUUUUCUUUUGGGUACCAGAAGUUAUUUUAUCUCUGAGGGCAGAAUGUACAUUUUCAAACCAACUCUGAAUUUUCUUAGCAUCCCAUAGUUUAGUAUAGAUUUAUUUAUUUAUACCAAAAAGUAGUCUUGUUCUAAAACUGCUACUUAUUCUACUGAUUUUCCUUGGUGUCUGGCUUUUGGUCUACCACAAUCUGCUGGGAUUAAUUUCCUUGGGCUGCUAUAACAAAUUACCAUAAACUGGGUGGUUGACAAACAACAGAUCUUUAUUCUUACAGUUCUAGAUGGUGGGAAGUCCAAGAUCAAGGCACUAGCAGAUUCUGUGUUUGGUAAGGGCUCACUCUUCUGGUUCACAGAUGAUAUCUUAUCCCCGUGUCCUCAUAUGGUGGAAGGGGCAAAGAGGCUACAUCAGGCCUCUUUUAUAAACAUACUAAUCCCAUUUAUGUGGGCUCCAUCCUCAUGACCUAAUCACUACCCAGAUGCCACACCUCUUAACAUCAGUACGUUAAGGAUUAGGUUUCAAUAUACAAAUUACAAGGGAUCACAAGCAUUCAGACUAUAGCAGUUACCUUCCAUUGUGCUCUGCAUGUGUUAUCAAGGCAAUAGUUUCCUUUUCAGAAGGUUACUUCUGGAAUCGAUCUCAUAUUUUCAGGCCCUGUUUGUAACUCUGCCUCUGUGUUGUUGUUGUUGUUGUUUUAAUUUAAUUUAGUUUUAAGUUCUGGGAUACAUGUUCAGGACCUGUAGGUUUGAUCCCCAAUGAACUUUGCUUUUAAAUCAAUGAUUAUACUGUAAGAUAUGGUUUUGCUGAUAAUUCAACUAGACUGACUAUAACUCUCACUGGUAAUAGUUGGUUCAACUAGCCUUAUACCUGACAAUAUGCUAAUGCUGAUAAUUACAUUUCUUGUUGUUUCUACUUACAAGUCUGUUUUGAUCCGACAGCUUAUUCCAAAAGAUUGUGAAAGCAUUAUAAUUUAUCUGUGUGUGUAUAUUUAUUUCUUGAAAAUACAUCAUUAAACAUUUUAGCACAAAAAAUAACUGGCACUUUCUUAUGUGCUUUAUAUGGUUUAGGUUGAUACAAAAGUAAUUGUGUUUUUUUUUUUCAUUAAAAGUAAUGGCAAAAAACCGAAAUUACUUUUGCACUAACCUAAUACUUUUAAAACCUUACUCUAUUGUAUUUUGAGUCUGAUAAGAAUUAAAAUUCCUGUCCUAUAUUUCUUUAAGCCUAUCUGUGGUUGGAAGAAACCAUCUGGGCAGCAAUAAUUCUUUAUUUUUUCUUAUCUUCUUCCCUCUCCUACUUGUUCUGUUUUCCAUGAUAUUCAUGUUAAAUGCAUAACGCUGAGGGGUUUCUUUUCUUUUCUUUAAUUAUACUUUAAGUUCUAGGGUACAUGAGCACAACGUACAGCUUUGUGACGUAGGUGUACAUGUGCCAUGUUGGCUUGCUGCACCCAUUAACUCGUCAUUUACAUUAGGUAUUUCUCCUAAUGCUGUCCCUCCCCUAGCCCUCCACUCCAUGACAGGCCGUGGUGUGUGAUAUUCCCCACCCUGUGUCCAUGUGUUCUCAUUGUUCAGUUCCCACCUAUGACUGAGAACAUGUGGUGUUUGGUUUUCUGUCCUUGUGACAGUUUGCUGAGAAUGGUGGUUUCCAGAUUCAUCCAUGUCUCUGCAAAGGACAAGAAUUCAUCCUUUUUUUAUGGCUGCAUAGUAUUCCAUGGUGUAUAUGUGCCACAUUUUCUUAAUCCAGUCUAUCACUGAUGGACAUUUGGGUUGGUUCCAUGUCUUUGCUGUUGUGAAUAGUGACACAAUAAAUAUAUGUGUGCAUGUGUCUUUAUAGUAGCAUGAUUUAUAAUUCUUUGGGUAUAUACCCAGUAAUGGGAUCGCUGGGUCAAAUGGUAUUUCUAAUUCUAGAUCCUUGAGGAAUCGCCACACUGUCUUCCACAAUGGUUGAACUAAUUUACACUCACACCAACAGUGUAAAAGUGUUCCUAUUCCACCACAUCCUCUCCAACAUCUGUUGUUUCCUGACUUUUUAAUGAUUGCAAUUCUAACUGGCAUGAGAUGGUAUCUCAUUGUGGUUUUGAUAUGCAUUUCUCUGAAGACCAGUGAUGAUGAGCAUUUUUCCAUGUUUCUGUUGGCUGCAUAAAUGUCUUCUUUUGAGAAGUGUCUGUUCACAUCCUUUGCCUACUUUUUGAUGGGGUUGUUUGUUUUUUUCUUGUAAAUUUGUUUAAGUUCUUUGUAGAUUCUGGAUAUUAGCCCUUUGUCAGUUGGGUAGAUUGCAAAAAUUUUAUCCCAUCCUGUAGGUUGCUUGUUCACUCUGAUGAUAGUUUCUUUUGCUGUGCAGAAGCUCUUUAGUUUAAUUAGAUCCCAUUUGUCUAUUUUGGCUUUUGUUGCCAUUGCUUUUGGUUUUUUAGUCAUGAAGUCUUUGCCCAUGUCUAUGUUUUGAAUGGUAUUACCUAGGUUUUCUUCUAGGGUUUUUAUGAUUUUAGGUCUUAAAUUUCAGUCUUUAAUCCAUCUUGAGUUAAUUUUUAUGUAAAGUGUAAGGAAGGGAUCCAGUUUCAGCUUUCUACAUAUGGCUAGCCAGUUUUCCCAGCACUAUUUAUUAAAUAGGGAAUCCUUUCCCCAUUUCUUGUUUUUGUCAGGUUUGUCAAAGAUCAGAUGGUUGUAGAUGUGUGGUGUUAUUUCUGAGGGCUCUGUUCUGUUCCAUUGAUCUAUAUCUCUGUUUUGGUACCAGUACCAUGCUGUUUUGGUUAUUGUAGCCUUGUAGUAUAGCUUAAAGUCAGGUAGCAUGAUGCCUCCAGCUUUGUUCUUUUGGCUUAGGAUUGUCUUGGCUAUGUGGGCUCCUUUUUGGUUCCAUGUGAAAUUUAGAGUAUUUUUUUCCAAUUCUGUGAAGAAAGUCAUUGGCAGCUUGAUGGGGAUGGCACUGAAUCUAUAAAUUACCUUGGGCAAUAUGGCCACAUUCACGAUAUUGAUUCUUUCUAUCCAUGAGCAUGGAAUGUUCUUCCAUUUGUUUGUGUCCUCUUUUAUUUCGUUGAGCAAUUUUGUAGUUCUCCUUGAAGAGGUCUUUCACAUCCCUUGUAAGUUGGAUUCCUAGGUAUUUUAUUCUCUUUGUAGCAAUUGUGAAUGGGAGUUCCGUCAUGAUUUGGCUCUCUGUCUGUUAUUGGUGUAUAGGAAUGCUUAUGAUUUUUGCACAUUGAUUUUGUAUCCUGAGACUUUGCUGAAGUUGCUUAUCAGCUUAAGGAGAUUUUGGGCUGAGACGAUGGGGUUUUCUAAAUAUACAAUCAUGUCAUCUGCAAACAGGGACAAUUUGACUUCCUCUUUUCCUAGUUGAAUACCCUUUAUUUCUUUCUCUUGCUUAAUUGUCCAACACUAUGUUGAACAGGAGUGGUGAGAGAGGGCAUCCUUGUCUUGUGCCGGUUUUCAAAGGGAAUGCUUCCAGUUUUUGCCCAUUCAGUAUGAUAUUGGCUGUGAGUUUGUCAUAAAUAGCUCUUAUUAUUUUGAUAUAUUUUCUAUCAAUACCUAGUUUAUUGAGAGUUUUUAGCAUGAAGCGCUGUUGAAUUUUGUCAAAGGCCUUUUCUAUAUCUAUUGAGAUAAUCAUGUGGUUUUUGUCGUUGAUUCUGUUUAAGUGUUGGAUUAUGUUUAUUAAUUUGCAUAUAUUGAAGCAGCCUCGCAUCCCAGGGAUGAAGCCAACUUGAUCGUGGUGGAUAAGCUUUUUGAUUUGCUGCUGGAUUCAGUUUGCCAGUAUUUUAUUGAGGAUUUUUGCAUCGAUGUUCAUCAGGGAUAUUGGUCUAAAAUUCUCUUUUUUUUGUUGUGUCUGUGCCAGGCUUUGGUAUCAGGACGAUGCUGGCCUCAUAAAGUUAGUUAUGGAGGAUUCCCUCUUUUUCUAUUGAAUGGAAUAGUUUCAGAAGGAAUGGUACCAGCUCCUCUUUGUACCUCUGGUAGAAUUUGGCUAUGAAUCCGUCUUGUCCUGGACUUUUUUUUGGUUGGUAGGCUAUUAAUUAUUGCCUCAAUUUCAGAACCUGUUAUUGGUCUAUCCAGAGAUUCAACUUCUUCCUGGUUUAGUAUUGGGAGGUUGUAUGUGUCGAGGAAUUUAUCCAUUUCUUCUAGAUUUUCUAGUUUAUUUGAGUAGAGGUGUUCAUAGUACUCUCAGAUGGUAGUUUGUAUUUCUAUGGGAAUCGGUGGUGAUAUCUCCUUUAUCAUUUUUUAUUGCAUGUAUUUGAUUCUUCUCUCUUUUCUUCUUUAGUAGCCUUGCUAGUGGUCUAUCAAUUUUGUUGAUCUUUCCAAAAUAGCAGCUCCUGGAUUCAUUGAUUUUUUUGAAAGGUUUUUGUGCCUCUUUCUCCUUCAGUUCUGCUCUGAUCUUAGUUAUUUCUUGCCUUCUGCUAGCUUUUGAAUUUGUUUGUUCUUGCUUCUCUAGUUCUUUUAAUUGUGAUGUUAGGGUGUCAAUUUUAGAUCUUUCUUGCUUUGUCUUGUGGGGACAUCAACAGAACUCUCCAACCCAAAUCAACAGAAUAUACAUUCUUCUCAGCACCACAUUGCACUUAUUCUAAAAUUGACCACGUAAUUUGAAGUAAAACACUCCUCAGCAAAUGUGAAAGAACAGAAAUCACAACAAACUGUCUCUCAGACCACAGGGCCAUCAAAUUAGAACUCAGGAUUAAGAAACUCAAAACCAUACAACUACAUGGAAACUGAACAACCUGCUCCUGAAUGACCACUGGAUAAAUAAUGAAAUUAAGGCAGAAAUAAAAAUAUUCUUUGAAACCAGUGAGAACAAAGACGCAACGUACCAGAAUCUCUGGGACACAUUUAAAGCAGUGUGUAGAGGGAAAUUUAUAGCACUAAAUGCUGAGGGGUUUCUUUAAGUUCAAUUUUUAUAAAACACUAAUUUGUUCUUCUGCAAAUUUAAGCACCAGCAGCAAAACCCAAUAGUAAAUCCAUUUGUAAUGUUGCUAUUUCAAUAUGGGUCUUUUGAAAGACAGGACGUAAUCAUUGUUCGUGCCUGCUUUGGGAAAUUAGUAGAAAUUUUUAUUUUAUUCAUUGGCAUUCACCUACAAGAUAUAUGUUUUCCAUUGUUCAUCUGGAGGCCUUUUGUUUCAAUCUAGACUCUCUCUAAAGGCAUGAGAAAUUAUAUACUUAAUAAAUGUGCCAAUAUACUUAUUUCAGGUCAUGAAACACAAUAUUUUUGUAUAAGCUUGCUCACCGGAAAAACCUGACAGAAGUCUAUGCAGUUGCUGCUGUGCUAGAAAUUAAAAGAAGGAUCCAAUAAAGUUGUGAUCAAUUGCUCAAUAAUCAGGUCCAUGGUAUGCGUAAAUGUGGCUCUCUGAAGAUUAGUGUAAAGCCCUCUGUUCCUUUCAUACAUGCUGGAGGUGAGAGAAGAGUUGUUACUUUUGGUUGUAACUUUUCUUAUAGUCUUUAUUAGCAGGCUUGGAGAGAGAGCACAGAGUCAUUUUAUUAUAUUAUUCUUUGAAUAUAAAUGUGACAGUUCCACCUUUCCUCAUGUAUUUUAUCCACAGUCUCAUCUGUGAAUGCUCCAUUUGCACUGCAGCUCAGGUAACCUGAAAAUCAGCCUAUCAUAGUUUUAUACACAAAGGACACACUACUCUCUUGGCUAAAGCACUGAAGGACAUCCUGUUUCUAGGGGUGUACAGGAACAGAACCUGGGCUUUCCUGACCAGCCCCUCCCUGUCGCUGGAUGUCAUUUUCUCAGCAUAUUCUACACUUAUUCUUUAGAACUACAAGCAAAACAAAUGGAAAGAACUGGUUCAGUCCAAGGCCACCGAGAGAACUGUCUUGCACCAUGGAGACUGUGGUAGAUAUUAUCAACCUUCAGUGACAGGAGGUAAAAGAACUUUGUAAAACAAAAACAGAGAUGCAGAAAAGCAAACUUAAGAAUCUAGAAGCAUUAUAAAUCUCUGUGUGAUGUCCAGACAGAGUUCAUUGCUGUUAAAAUCUCACUUCAUCACUCACUGGGAAAUAGCUACAAUUUCCUGAAGCAUAGCUACUACUACAGCAGAAUAGUAUAAUUAGUCAUCAAAAUUGAGUAAUUGAAUAGUUAUAAUAUUCAAAGUUUUCUCAAAAACAUUAACCCAAUUAUCUUUCCAACACUGGAAAAUUUUUAAUAUUCAGGGAAACAACAAAAGAGUUGUACAUUUUUAGUUUUGGAAUAGCUCAUGAGACAUGAGUUAUCCAUUGCAGUAAAUACCUAAUUGCAAUAGUAUAAAAACUAGUUUUAUUUGCUUUGAAUUUUUCAUUUUCUCUUUAAAAUGUUAAAUAUAAUAUUCAAUUUAAUUCAAGUUAAGCGAAGCCCAUCAAGUAACUGCACACUGUCUUUGUAAAGAAUGAACAAACUUUUUAGUUUCCUGAUGUAUAUAUGGUCAGAUACCCUAUGAAAUAGAAUCUACAUCUUAUUAUCAAUAAUUACAUGCCACAAUUAGGGUACUUUGUGAGAUCUUUUAUUGAAAGGCUGUUAGGGUUUUUGCCUCUAAUUCAAUAUGUUUUAUUAAAAUAAGUAGAUGUAUGAAUAUCUGAGUUAUUAAUAUACUGGAAAAGAUUCUGGGGCUGAAGACCUAGGCCCUGUGCCAUUGAGCUGAAGAGAUGUUGCUACUUACAGAAUUGGGACUAGCUCAGCACUGUUGUUAAUACAAUGCCAGAUUUAUACAAUUGUCCCCAUGAUUCAAAGAAUUCAGUCUCCUUGCCCAGACUUAAAGGAAAAUAACUUAAUAUAAAGCUGUGAAAGAGUAAUGCAAUGCACAUAAAGACAUUUUACAAGACUCUAGCCAGAUCUAGCCCCAAAAGAUUUGGUAAAAUUUAAAGUAGCACGGAAGAAUUGAUUGGAGACCUGGCAAUAGUUAAAAUGGGAAAAUUCAGGGCUCUAUAUUAUUGCAGCUAAAGAGGAAAUUUCAAGAGAAAUUAAAGACGUUUGCAGCUUUUCCAAGGUCUUUGAGUAAUAUUGAUAAAAUAUCAUAACUUUUCCACUUCUGAAACUCAAUAAUUGAAUUCUGAAAUCUAAAUCUAAAGCUAUUUUUAGCUUUAUAACAUUUUGCUUUUCUAGAAGGAAGGCAUUAUCUUUUUUUCUCUAUCUAUUAACUUUUAAUAUUAUUAAUACCAAAGUACUAAAUUUUGAUUACUUAAUUGUUAUGUUUCUUCAAAAAAAGGAUUCUGAUUUUCUAAUGUUUUAUCGGAGGUAAAAGUUCAAUACACUAUUCAGAGUGGUAUUCUGACUUUCUGAUGCCUAAAAAGCACAGCAAGGAUAUAGCACCUCUCCCAUCCUACUGAUUAAUAGACUUUGAGUGGUGCCAGGAGGGAAAGAAGAAUGUAAGAAACUUUAGGAAAGGAGCAUCAACCUAACUGAAUUCCCCAUGUCUCUGAUAUACUUAAGUAAUUAGAGAAGGACAAGUUAACUGGUUAUAAAUAAAGUGCGUCCUUAGCUUCUCAAUAUAUAUCCCCUUAGCAUGGCAUGUAAGAUUCUGUCUUAUCUGACUUGAACCUAUAUUUGCAGCUUUGUCCUCUGGUACUCGACUUUUGUAAUCCUGAAUCCAGCAACACACAUCAUUUUCUGUUUUCUCAAUUUGUCUUGUAUUUUAUAUUUCAGUCUUUCCUGGAAUUAUAUUAUCUCUACAUUGAAUUCCUUUCUAUUAUUUCUCCACUUGGGAGCUUGGAGCUUCUUCCUUCAACACUCAUUUCAAGUAUCAGUGCCUAUGCAGCUUCCCUGUCUUCCUAGUCCAAAUUAGUAACUCCUAGCUCUGUGUACACCUGCUAUUCUUUUAAACUAUUCCAUUACGUUUCAUUUUAUAGUGUAUUUCUUCUUUUUUUUUAACUUGUCAACUAGAUAAUUACGUCAAAUGCUGUCUUUUUCAUCUUUGUGUCUUUCUUUCUGUAGUGCUCAGAAUAAGUACUGAUAAACAAUCCUGUUUAGGAAUAAUCUGUGUUAGGGGAAAGUGUAAUUUUUAAAAACUUGUUUGUAAAGAAGAUACUGCAUUACCAUUGCCAUGUUUAAGAUGCUGUUCCUCAAAUCCUUCUUCUGCUUUUACCAUAGAAGAAUUGAGAGACUUGCAAUUUACUGGGUUCAUUUUUUUUUAUCUAUAACUCUAGUUAAUGCAUAGUUUUUCUUUGUCAAUAUUUAGUGAACUGGAUGUCUUUGAAACUUUAAUUCUUUACAGUUAUGUCUUUAUAAUAAUAGUGGAAUUUAGAACAGUUAUAUUAAAGAGAAAAUUGUCUCAUUAAGAAAUUAGGUCUUUUAUUUGGAUCUGAAUCUGUAUAACAAAUUCAGUUAAAAUAGUUAAAAUUUAAAUGAGAUCCACACCUGAAAUUCUCCCUGAAGUAUAGAAUUUUGCCAUAAGCCACUUCAAAUUUUAUUUAAUAACUUCUGUUUAACAGUGGUUUGUUUGCCAUCCUUCAAAUAAUAACCUAAUGUUUAAAUCAAAUCAAAUAUUAACAAACGUACACCUUCAGUUAUUUCAUUGACUCUUUUUCUGAAUUUUCUUUUUUAUUAUUAUUAUUAUACUUUAAGUUUUAGGGUACAUGUGCACAUUGUGCAGGUUAGUUACAUAUGUAUACAUGUGCCAUGCUGGUGCACUGCACCCACUAACUCGUCAUCUAGCAUUAGGUAUAUCUCCUAAUGCUAUCCCUCCCCGCUCCCCCCACCCCACAACAGUCCCCAGAGUGUGAUAUUCCCCU
rnacentral:lncRNA from 1 species